GUGCCAGCAGCCGCGGUAAUACCGGCAGCCCAAGUGAUGGCCGCUGUUAUUGGGCCUAAAGCGUCCGUAGCUGGCUGCGCAAGUCCGUCGGGAAAUCCACCCGCCCAACGGGUGGGCGUCCGGUGGAAACUGGCUGGCUUGGAACCGGAAGGCUCAGAGAGUACGUCCGGGGUAGGAGUGAAAUCCCGUAAUCCCGGACGGACUACCGAUGGCGAAAGCACUCUGAGAAGACGGCUUCGACAGUGAGGGACGAAAGCCAGGGUCUCCAACCGGAUUAGAUACCCGAGUAGUCC
rnacentral:rRNA from 1 species